rnacentral:rRNA from 1 species
GAUGAACGCUAGCGGCAGGCUUAAUACAUGCAAGUCGAGGGGCAGCAUGACUGUAGCAAUACAGUUGAUGGCGACCGGCAAACGGGUGCGGAACACGUACAGAACCUUCCUUCGAGCGGGGAAUAGCCCAGAGAAAUUUGGAUUAAUACCCCAUAGUAUAUUAGAGUGGCAUCACUUUGAUAUUAAAGAUUUAUCACUUGAAGAUGGCUGUGCGGCUGAUUAGGUAGUUGGCGGGGUAACGGCCCACCAAGCCUUCGAUCAGUAACUGGUGUGAGAGCACGACCAGUCACACGGGCACUGAGACACGGGCCCGACUCCUACGGGAGGCAGCAGUAAGGAAUAUUGGUCAAUGGACGAAAGUCUGAACCAGCCAUGCCGCGUGGAGGAUGAAGGUCCUCUGGAUUGUAAACUUCUUUUAUAUGGGACGAAAAAAGGGUUUUCUAACUCGUACUGACGGUACCAGUAUAGAAUAAGCACCGGCUAACUCCGUGCCAGCA